UUGGUGUUGAUUGCGGUGAGGGUCCACCCGUUCCCAUUCCGAACACGGCAGUUAAGCUCAUCUGCGCCGAAAAUACUUGGCUGGCGACGGCCCGGGAAGAUAGGUAACGCCAA
rnacentral:rRNA from 1 species